rnacentral:misc_RNA from 1 species
AAAGUCGUAACAAGGUUUCCGUAGGUGAACCUGCGGAAGGAUCAUUAACACGUUAUCCACGUAUAAACUUUACUCUGCAUUGUGCUCCCUGAUUGAAGACUGCGCGGCUAUCAUUAUCUGUGUCUAGUGGAGUUCAUGGAACUUUCGGUUUACGCCUGGCAACAGGUAUGGCUGAGAGGGAAGUGGGCAUAACAGGUAAUCUGGUCUGUGUACAAGCUUGCUGUGUACAAGUCGCCCCACUUUCUUUCAGGCUUAUUGCUCCCUGCUCGCGUGAAAACUAUUCCUCAACCACUUUGGGGCAGCGAGGGCGCACCAUACCAUUUUCACCCUACUUUACCAAUUUUGACUAAUUAUUAUAUUCUCGGGAGAAAUCCUGUGGAAUGACUAAGAUUUUAUCUUAACUAAGCACAACUCUUAGCAAUGGAUAUCUUGGUUCUC